ensembl:lncRNA
AUAUUAACAUGUGAGAACAUCAUUGCAUGUUCAGACCGCAGUUAACCUGUGGGAACGUGAAGUAUGUUGUAUAUGAGGCCACAAGAUUUUGUCAAGGUAACAGCAUUCUUUCUGUAUCCCAGACAGCAACAUAGUGUUGGCCCAGAUCCGGCCCACAUCUGACCCGUGUGAAAUCCAUGCAGGCCAGAUGUGGGCCGGAUCUGGGCCAACACUGGUUGCUGUAUGGGUUGCUUUAAUAGAAAUUUAGUUAAUCUAAUUACUUUCAAAAGGCGUUUCACCUAAAUGAAAAAAAAAAAGUUAUUUUUGCAUUACUAUUAUGAUAUCAGUAAGGUAACAAUUAAACAACACAUUAGAGUGACACCACAACAUCCUAUACAGCAACCAGUGUUGGCCCAGAUCUGGACCGCAUGGAUUUCACACGGGUCAGAUGUGGGCCAAAUCUGGGCCAACACUAUGUUGCUGUCUGGGAUACUGAAAGAAUGCUGUUACCUUGACAAAAUCUUGUGGCCUCAUAUACAACAUACUUCACGUUCCCACAGGUUAACUGCGGUCUGAACAUGCAAUGAUGUUCUCACAUGUUAAUAUGUGGGUUUUGAUUAUGGUUUGAUUAGCACAGUAAAAAUCAAUAACCGCUACAGAAGAAUUUGCAUUCAAAAUCAAUUACUUCACCUAGAUUUCUUUGUUUCAAAAUGUUCCCAUCUUUUAAACCCAGUCAUUCUUUAAAACACUUGACACUGUGAUCAUGCCAGUUAGAGCUCAUUGUAUAUCUAAAGCAUAUAUUUGUAAAACAAAAGAGAUAGCAGGCCUAGGUCUGUCCGGUUUUCAGCAUUACUACUGGGAAGCCAAUGUAAGAGCUUUAAUGAUGGUUACAACAGUGAGAACAAGCUAGAUUAAAGUGAUUAUUACGUUUUGAAUAUGGAUAUUUUUCUUACAAAAACGCAUCGAUUUGCUACAGGAGGCUUUGUUCACCCCCCAGAGCCGUGUGAGACACUUAUUUAUUAUGGAUGGGAGCUUUUUAUUUCACAUCUUUUGGACUGAAGCAAUGCAACACCUGCAAUAAAAAAUGACAGAGCUGGAAAGAUCA